AGCGAACGCUGGCGGCAGGCUUAACACAUGCAAGUCGAGCGGGCGUAGCAAUACGUCAGCGGCAGACGGGUGAGUAACGCGUGGGAACGUACCUUUUGGUUCGGAACAACCCAGGGAAACUUGGGCUAAUACCGGAUAAGCCCUUACGGGGAAAGAUUUAUCGCCGAAAGAUCGGCCCGCGUCUGAUUAGCUAGUUGGUGAGGUAACGGCUCACCAAGGCGACGAUCAGUAGCUGGUCUGAGAGGAUGAUCAGCCACAUUGGGACUGAGACACGGCCCAAACUCCUACGGGAGGCAGCAGUGGGGAAUAUUGGACAAUGGGCGCAAGCCUGAUCCAGCCAUGCCGCGUGAGUGAUGAAGGCCCUAGGGUUGUAAAGCUCUUUUGUGCGGGAAGAUAAUGACG
rnacentral:rRNA from 1 species